rnacentral:lncRNA from 1 species
UUUCAAACCCUUUUUAUUAGUUUUCCUUAUUUAAUUUUUAUAGACCAAUAUAUUUUCUAAUAUUUUAUGUUUUGCCAAUUAUUUUGAAUAUAACCAAAAACGAGGUGCCGUUUAUAAUCUCGUUGGAUAAAACCAUGGUCUAAAAUAUCUAUAUUAUCCCGAUAUUUUCAUCGAAAUUUUCGUGUUUUUGGACUAUCGAUAUUUCCGAUAUCAUCGAUAUUUUAGACCUUGAUAGGAACUCUAUGUGGUACUAAGUCAUUCAUGUAUCUUACCA